rnacentral:lncRNA from 1 species
ACCUAAUGGGGCAGGAUCCAAGGACCUGGAGAGGAAAGGAAGAAGGAGCUUCUUAAUCUUAAUGCAUUUCAAUUAAACUCUGUCCAUAUUGCUGGCCUGCCUGUUUGGGGCACAUUGUGGGGUUGCCAGGCAACAGUGGUGAGUGUCCUCCCAGCACUCACACAGGGAGGAUCCAGUGUGUGAGGACUGCUCAAGCAGAUCUUCCUUCCACAGCUUGAGGACCAGGGAAGCGUGCCCAGAGGAAGUCAUGGUGGAUGACACCUGUAAACCCUGGAUGCCCAGCCAGAGUCCUCGGAAGCACCCUAGGUCUUCUUCCUUCUCCCUAGACUCUCCAGCGUGGUCCAGGCCGCAUCAUCUUGCGCUGAGACCAUCUCACUGCCAGUCUUCCCACCUCCAGCCUCGCCUCCCCAGGACUGUCCCCUCCCUCCCAUCUGCUCUUCCUUAAAAAAAAAAAAUUCAUCCUCACAUUGUGGUGACAUUAAAUGUGAUUUGCACAAUUCUUCCACAAAUAUCAAAUUAAUAUGAUUUUCCUCUCUAAUCUCCUUGCACAACAUAUUGGAAAUUACAAUUAUUAUUAAAACAAAAAAUACAUACAUAUUUAUUUAUUUGCAUAUUUUUAUUUAUUUAUUUAGAGACUGGGUUAUUAGACUGGCUAAUUUUUGUAUUUUUGGUAGAGAUGGGUUUUGCCAUGUUGCCCAGGCUGGUCUCGAACUCCUGGAUUCAAGCAAUCCUCCCACCUCGACCUCCCAUAUUGCUGGGAUACAGGUGCAAGCCAACAUACCUGGCCCCUCUGCUCUUCCUAAAUGCAGUUCUGACAUGUCACCUCCUGCUUCAACACUUCCAGGACUCCCCAUGACCCUCAGGUGAAGUCUGAGCUCCUGAUGACGUGGUCCUUCGUGUCCUGGCCCCUGACAACAUACCAUUCUCAGCUAUUGCCUUCCGCUUCUAGAACAUUCUCUCCGGCCACAUCAAAUCACUUGCAUUUCCUCAAUCCUGAAACACCUCCUCGCUUCCCCAGCCUUUUGCAGAUGGCUGGAAUACUCCUCCCAUUCUUUCUUAUUUAUUUUUUGUAUUUUUAGUAGCGGGGCGGGGGGGGGGGGGGGGGGGGGGGGGUGUUUCACCAUGUUGGCCAGUCUGGCCUUGAACUUCUGACCUCAAGUGAUCCACCCACCUCAGCCUUCCAAAGUGCUGGGAUACAGGUGUGAGCCACCGCGCCCGGCCUCUCCUCCCCACUCUUGUGCCUGGAUAACCUUUAUUUAUCCCUCAGAUCCCAGCCCUGACAGCCCUCACAGCCCUCUUCCAGCGAAGCCUUCCUGGUGGCCAGGCUGGUUAGGCACUUGCUUGGUUUGCUCCUGUCCCAACAUUGAUUCGUUCAUUCAACAAAUUUUUAUGGCAUGCCAGCGAUGUGCUAGGCUGUUCCAGCCAUUUUGAAUACACUGGGAAUC